ACACCCUCAAGCUAUGCUUGGUGUUGGGCGUCUGUCCCGCUCUCGAAGCGCGGACUCGCCUCAAAGUCAUUGGCGGCGGUCGUGCCGGCUCCUCGCGCAGCACAUUUGCGCUUCUCGGAGCUCCGGUGGAUCAGCAUCCAGCAAGCUACUUUUAUG
rnacentral:misc_RNA from 2 species